GCUACGGCCACGGCGCUGCGCGCGCGGGCGCUGGGGUCUCGGCCACCCCGGGGGCGCAGCGCCUGUGCCGCCUGUCGGUGUGGAUCUGGCAGUCUGUCAUCCACCUGCUGCAGAUGGGGCAGGUGUGGAGCUCUAAGCGAGAGACAUGAGACCUCAGCUGAACUGAGGUGGUUUUGAGGUCAUCCGAUUUCUGGCUAGAAGUGUGCGGUCGCCUCGUCCUGAAACCACUUCACACAGAAUGGUUUGCAAAUUUUUUUGGUGAUGACAUGUUCAGAAUCUUGGAUCCCUAAGUUGAAUAUUGGAAAUAAUGUUGUUUUCAUAUUUAAAUGUCUUGGUAGGUGAAUUAGUAUAUUUAAUAAAAGUCUAUAAAAGAACUCCAUGCUUCCAAGUCGGCAGGCCUGUCAUGAGAUGGUCCCCUGUGUCAUUGCUGUACUGGGACAUUUACCCCAUGAAGAUUUGGGGUGUCCUUGUGGGCACAUUGUCCUGGACGUUUGUGUGAUUCCUCCCAUGUGGAUUUAGUUACCUCGUUUUGUUUUACUCUGAGAAGAGAAGAAAAAACAUCUAGUGACAAUCUUAAAUGCAGUAAUUACAAAAUUUCUCCCUGGAAAUUGUCUCAGAAAGGUCUGAAUUAGAAUACGAAAAUUUUACCCAAAUGUACUCGUGACAAAAUGCUGCCGGUCUUUAGAAUUAGACAUCGUGAAGUAGGUGUGGGUCAUAGGUGCUAACAUUGGAGGAUGGGCUGUUGACAUCCACCCCCUUCCUCUCUCUCCUUCUUACCAGGUAGAUGAGUCAAUGAGAAGGGUUUGGCAGUGCAAGUGAAGAGAAGGAAAGAUGGACUGUCUCAGAAAGAUUAGUUCCCCUAAUAACGGAAGUAGACUCCUUUCUGUGUUCUGAACCCGGCUGCCAACUGUGCUGUGCUCUCACACAGACCCAGAAUGUGGGCUCAGCCACGACAGGACAGAUAGAAGUGAGGUGCUAGGCAGAGUAGCCGUCCUUGAGUGACUGUGGUCAUUACUGGUGGUUGGAUGUCCUUUGCCAGCCACCUGUCCUGAUGGGAUUAAGAGACAUGAUGAACCUUCUGGGACAUAGCUACUUGGACGAUCCGACGUGACUGCUUCCCGACUCUUUUGACCCAAGCUGGGGAAUAGUGAUUGUGAAGACCACACUCAGAACAAUGUGGAGUUAGAUCAGACGGAAGGAUGAAGGGGAUCAGCAAACCAUAGAGACUGAAAAGCAGCCAGGAGAGUGUUUGUGGGCAAGUGGACUGUGAGCUGCCCACCGUCCCUGUGCACGUGCAGCAGGUCUCAGAGUUCCCUUGAAGGCUGGCCAAAGGGGAGGACUGUUCUGUUCCCCGGGCCCCUCUUUUCUUUUUGUGUUUUUUUGUUUUUAACAGGAGCAAUUGGCUGAUAAGUAUUUAAUAGAAAACAUUAGAUAGAUUUUUAAACAACUACUACAUUUUAAUUAAGCAUGUGUUGCCUAUUAAACCACUCUGAUGACAGCGGACUUUUCUCUCCUGUGCUACCUCUCUCAGAAGUUUCUAGCCAGUUCUAGGCACAAAAUUGACUAGGUCUAGGUAUCUGAUAUACCCAGAAGGAAUUAGCCAGACAGGAAAAAACUUGCCCCUCCCCAGAAUAAAUCUUUUAAAAACCUUAGAUUCUGAAAACUGUGAGUACAAAUGAAAGAGACACAAGGGAAACAGAAGAGUGACAGUACAAAGUGGGGUGCACUGGGGACUGAACCUCACAGUGGACCUAAAGUGGGGUGCACUGGGGACUGAACCUCACAGUGGACCUAAAGUGGGGUGCACUGGGGAUUGAACCUCACAGAGUGGACCUAAAGUGGGGUGCACUGGGGAUUGAACCUCACAGAGUAGACCUAAAGUGCGCUAAGGGAAGUGAGCACAUCCUUGGCGAUGAAAAUGUCUUGGACAGAAGACAUCCUGGUGCUUUUGUGGGUAGCUUGCCACAAUAUUUUGAGUAAUGAUGUCAAUAUUUGAAAAUACUGAUGCAUUUCCUAAUGGUGAGUUUGAAUUCUGGUGUGUUCUAAAUGUGUUUGUGGCUCAGUGGUUAACUUAAUUUCAAGUAAAUACCUGCAUUGUUACAGAAGCUAUUACCAGUAGAGUUCCCUUGUCCCCCUUUAGAGAAAUGAGGUGCUGAACAGAGUCAGUGUCUGGCUGCUUCCUAGAAACUUGUGAAUCAAGCUUGAAAAAUCAUGCUUGAAAUCUGCCUGCACAUUUUGUUUCAGUUGCAGUUGUACUGAUUAGAGCAGUGUGUGUCUUCUGAGAAAUGUGUCCUUCCCUAGGUCACCGCACUUGACGUCCUAGUCCAUUGCAUUCCCAAAGAGAAUCAGGUCUGUGUGAGUUAGGUACACUGAAACAGAGGGACUCUGAGAACAAUGGCCUGUUUGUUGUAUUGUGGAAACUGUACAGAAACUCCACAUGGACAUCGUCGAAAGCCAGUGCUCCUGCACCAGCAGGACAGCGCAGGCAUCUUUGUGCAGUGCCUGCACCAGAAGGAACCUUAGCUUGUGGUGGUCUGGCUCUGUGGAUCCCCUUCGUUGAACUUACGCCUUCACUGCGACUUUCUUCUCCCUCCACCAGUGGUAACUUGCUCCAAGGGAUGGGACCUCCGGCCUCAAGGGGCACCCACUGGCUCUUCACACAGACUGCAGCCACAGGCUGGGCGCCUAUUAGAUGAAAGGACCAGACUCUGCAAAGGCCACUCCCAAAGACAAGGGGAGAAGUGGAGCCUGAGGUCAGGCACUUGCUGCUUCCUGUUGAUGGAGGCGGAGUUUUUCUUUUUCUUCAAAAGUUGAAUAUUACCAUCUUUCUAAAGUGAGCAUACCUUUUCCGCCCUAAAAUUUCCAAUUAUUACGAAGGUUUUCUCCUUAAGUGUGACCUUUCAUUAUGUCAGGAUAUUAAAUUCUUGGUGUAAAAUAUGUUCUUAAGUUAUAUAAUAAUGACUAGAAAUUUUAGGAUUCUGUUGUGACUUUUAAAUUUGAAGUACAUUUUCAGGAAAACUCCAGAUUUCCAGUUAACUCAUUUUGUUCCUUGUGGACUGUCUGGGUAGGAGGCUCCCUCAGUCCGUGUUUUGAUUGCAUGGACGGUUUUGAUGUGUCCUCUAAGGAGCUGAAUUCCUCAGAACGUCUGAACAGCACGCCUCUUCUGUGGAGACUCGGGUCACCUUGUUCUGUCAUGCGGGAUUCCGUGCGUGUGACAGCUUCCCUCUGAAGGUGAAUUCAAGCAGUUUGAAGAAGCACUGCCAGGGGGACUAAGUAAAUAGAAGAGCCUCCACGGGUGACAAUUCAGUGAAGCAUCCUGGGGCUCUUGAUGGAGUGAGUCUGACUCUCAUGUGCGUUUGGAUGUAUAGACACGAGACAACCUCAUAUGAUGUAUGGUUAAUGUCAGCAAAAUGUGGCUGGCCUGUGCAGGGCAUUUCUGUAUCGUGUAUGGUUGAUACCCCAUGGGGGAAGGGAUCCUGGAUCAGUCAGCCUUACUGUAAGUUAGGUAUCAUUUACCUGGGAUUUGAAGGUGUUUUUGUGUCUCCUUUGAGAGUAUGGUAUUUUGGACUUAUGGUUUCAUAUCCCUAGAGACAGUGUGCUGAUCACGUGUGGAGAAAAUGAAAGCACUGAGCCCAUGGGGUUCUAGAACCUGAGAGACCCCUGCCAUGUCUUCCCUGAUCAUCCUUCCCAGGUAAUCUCAUCACACUUCCUUUCCAGCAGGUCCGCACAGUACUAUUUGACCCUUUCAUCCUAAGUCAAGAUGGAAGUACCACACAGUCAGCUUGCCGCCGGCUGCGAACAGGCGGGUCCCCUCACCAUGCUGUGCGCAUCCCCUGCUACCUCCUGCCUCCGUCUUCCUUCCUGCCCAGAAGCCAACACAGUUCUAGACUUGGAGCCUUGGUUGUCUGAGCCCUGCCUCUGUGACACUCACAGCACUGUAGUCUGAAAGUGGUCUUUUAGGGUGCUAGCCACUGUUGUGGUUUCCAUGGAAACUUCAACUGGCCAUGGUUUCCUGAGGCCAGGAGGAUCCCAGCAUGCCUCAGGCAGUGGGAAGACCCGGAGCUGACUUAUGAGCAUGGAAGCCUGCUAGGGCCUGAAGGUAGCUGGGAGACUGUGUUUUCCAUUGGUGGGUAGAAAAAGAAAUCAUGAAUCCAUAUGGACCCUAUGCUGACUUUGGUGGUGUGUACAACAGUCAUGUAACCUUUUCAAAACUGACAUUAAGGUUUUAAGUUUUUUUACAUAGACUUUUCAGAAAUGAUUCAAAUGUGUUUUGUGUGAAAGAGUAUACUGUGCAUAAUAACUUUCUUAUGCUUCUGCUAAUAAAAAUUAACUGGUCCAGUUAUUUAAAACCUGACACUUUACAGUUAUCUUGGAGAAGAGCUAAAGCAUAAUUGCUUACUUUUCCUGUACUCUUGAGAGCGUGAGUGAGUGUGCAUGUGCACCUGUUUUGUUUGCAGCUGUUGCGUGUGUGUUUUCCAUGUGUAAAAAUGUGAUCAGGUCCCUGUGUUUUCUCCAGGAAGAGCCUCUGAGCUCUUUGUAAUUACUAAGUGCUAGGGACACCGAAAAUGCAUCUUAACUUUUCUGGAUAGGUAGCACACUUUGUCCAAGUAAAGUACUUUUAUACUCAAUAGGCAGUGUUAGUAAGUCAGGCUGGAUGGGAUGUGUAGUUGAAACAGAGAGGAAAGACCCCAUCUGGGAUGAAUAGUAGUGUGGGCAGUCUAUACUGCAUUCUGUAGGCCUGAACCCAGUCAGUGGGCUUCACAAGCACCAGAAGCACAGGUUAAAACUCACUUUCAAUUAUAAGAUGAUCUUUCAAGAUUUUAAUCCGGGGGAUAGAGAGAUGGCUUAGCAGUUAAGAGCACCGGCUGCUCUUACAGAGGACUAGAGUUCAGUCCCCGGCACUAACGUGAUGGCUAACAACCUUACUUAAUCCGGUUUCAGGUGUUGCAUCACAUCAGUGUACUUGCAUGCAGGCAAGGCAUUCAUACGCAUAAAAAAUUAAUUUUUUAGAAAAGAUUCUAAUCUGCUCACAGCUGUCAGUACCAGCA